rnacentral:rRNA from 1 species
AGAGUUUGAUCCUGGCUCAGAACGAACGCUGGCGGCAGGCCUCAAACAUGCAAGUCUAGGGGGUGUAGCAAUACAUCACCGGCGGACGGGUGCGUAACGCGUGGGAAUGUACCUAUUGGUUCGGAACAACUGAGGGAAACUUCAGCUAAUACCGGAUGAGCCCGAAAGGGGAAAGAUUUCUCGCCAAUGGAUCAGCCCGCGUCCGAUUAGCUAGUUGGUGGGGUUAUGGCCUACCAAGGCAACGAUCGGUAGCUGUUCUGAGAGGAAGAUCAGCCACACUGGGACUGAGACACGGCCCAGACUCCUACGGGAGGCAGCAGUUGGGAAUCUUGGACAAUGGGGGAAACCCUGAUCCAGCCAUGCCGCGUGAGUGAUGAAGGCCUUCGGGUUGUAAAACUCUUUCGACGGGGACGAUAAUGACGGUACCCGUAGAAGAAGCUCCGGCUAACUUCGUGCCAGCAGCCGCGGUAAU